ACGGGAAUAGCUCAAUUGGCAGAGCAUCGGUCUCCAAAACCGAAGGUUGGGGGUUCAAGUCCCUCUUCCCGUG
rnacentral:tRNA from 2 species